rnacentral:lncRNA from 1 species
UGGGAGCUCAGCUUAGAGAACAGGAAGUGGGAGCCACAUACCCCGAGCUGGCGGCUUGAGCCUGUGGUAUCUAGGCUCACCUCACUGCGGUUGGUGGAGGUGAUGGAGGUUGCAGCUUGGCCAGCAUGGUAGAAAGGUGGCAGGGCACGUCUGGCUUUUACCACCCAGUUGCUUCGAGCCAGGAGAUGGAGGAGUCAUCUGUUGCACGCUGGAGGCUGGAGCCUGCAGAUGGCAUGGUUCUGUGGCUCACCUCGCUGCAGUUGGUGGCAGAGACAGAGACUGCAGCUUGACCAGAGUGGUGGAGUGAGUAUUGUCAUCUGCAUGAGCAAAUCUGGUUCAUCACAUCUUUGCAACAGGAAAAGGAAGGGAGGAUCAUGUGUAUAAUGUUUUAAGGCCAAGAUUCACAACAAGAACAAAGUCUUUAUUAACUUUUGCCUUCAAGAACCUGCAGUGUUGAGCCCUUUUUUAUUUCUGAUAUGUAUCUCAAGAGCACUCCACAACAAAGAUUCUGCCUGCAAUCCUCCACUUCAAGGUCUGUUCCAGGAAACCUGUGUAACACAGUUAUGCAUAGAGUGGUCUUAGGAAGCUGACUCUAACAUGAAAAUUUAGAGUUGGAUCUUUUGCUGACAUAUUGAAUAUUCAUAAGAGCAUAUGAUACAUUUGUCUAUCAUAAACAUGUCAUUUCAAAAAACCCUCAAAGUUGCCUUGUAGAACAUAAUUUUAAAACUAGUGUGUAGGAAUAUUUCAUAUCAGUUAUUCAGUCUUCUUAAUAUCUGAACCGAAAUUAAUCUUCCAUUCUGCUUUUAUUUAUAAAUAAUGAUUUAUUGUCA